AGCUAAUAGUUAAAAUCUAAAUAAAAAUGAAACUGUCAACUCUUUUUGUGUUUAUAAUGGCAGUGCUGGCUUUGCUAAUGGGUCACAGCGAAGCUGCCCCAAAAGUCAACGUAGGUGCAAUCAAGAAAGGCGGCAAAAUUAUUAAAAAGGGUCUUGGAGCGAUCGGCGCAGCGGGGACAGCUCACGAAAUUUAUUCUCAAGUUCGGAACAGGCAUAACUGAAAAUUAAGUUUAGAAAACUUUUCGUUAUUAAUUAAUAUUAAUAAUUAAUGUAUUAUUAUUAUCAGUUAUCACUGCAACCAUUUAUUAAUAAUAAAUUACCUCGUUUUAUGUUAACUGCCAAAACAUUGAUUAAGGACUUAAUAAAAUGUAAUUAGAAAGCUA